AACUCGAACUCCAGUCUGUCAUGGCGGCAGGACGGCGAACUUGCAGUAUCUCCACGACCCGACUCUGUGCCAGCGCCUCCGGAAUGUGGCGGCUCACAAGCCUCCUGCUGUUCGUGGCCACCUGGGGAAUUUCCGGCACACCAGCUCCUCUUGACUCAGUGUUCUCCAGCAGCGAGCGUGCCCACCAGGUGCUGCGGAUCCGCAAACGUGCCAACUCCUUCCUGGAGGAACUCCGUCCCAGCAGCCUGGAACGGGAGUGCAUAGAGGAGAUCUGUGACUUCGAGGAGGCCAAGGAAAUUUUCCAAAAUGUGGAUGACACACUGGCCUUCUGGUCCAAGCACGUCGGUGAGUGCGUUCUAGAUCCCCGGCUGGACUACCGGCGCCCGCGCCCCUCGGGGUCUCUGGCCGCUGACCCCCUACCCCGCCUUGUGUCGCAGACGGUGACCAGUGCUUGGUCUUGCCCUUGGAGCACCCGUGCGCCAGCCCGUGCUGCGGGCACGG
rnacentral:sRNA from 1 species